UACGUAGGGUGCGAGCGUUGUCCGGAAUUAUUGGGCGUAAAGAGCUCGUAGGCGGUCUGUCGCGUCGGUCGUGAAAACUUGGGGCUUAACCCUGAGCUUGCGGUCGAUACGGGCAUGACUGGAGUUCGGUAGGGGAGACUGGAAUUCCCGGUGUAGCGGUGAAAUGCGCAGAUAUCGGGAGGAACACCAGCGGCGAAGGCGGCACUCUGGGCUGGUACUGACGCUGAGGAGCGAAAGCGUGGGUAGCAAACAGG
rnacentral:rRNA from 1 species